UACGGAGGGUGCGAGCGUUUGUCCGGAAUCACUGGGCGUAAAGGGCGCGUAGGCGGCAUGCCAAGCGUGUGGUGAAAGCCCGGGGCUCAACCCCGGGUCGGCCGUGCGGACUGGCGUGCUCGAGCACUGUAGGGGCGGGUGGAAUUCCGGGUGUAGCGGUGGAAUGCGUAGAGAUCCGGAAGAACACCGGUGGCGAAGGCGGCCCGCUGGGCAGGAAGGCUCGCAAGAGCCGGCUGACGCUGAGGCGCGACAGCGUGGGGAGCAAACAGG
rnacentral:rRNA from 1 species